CAGACACUCACUCGCGGACUUCAAGAGAGGCUCACUGCUGAAUAACCUCUACUUACGGUGCAUGCUGCAACGGCCCAGAUAAAUAACAGGAAUAUUUUGCCAUGCGAGAGGAGUUAUGAAACCUGCCGGCGCUGCUGUAUCCCAUCCUCUGCAGCGGAUGCAGGCCGUCUGGUUUGUGUCAUCCAGCAGUUUGCACUGACUGGUUCUGAUAAAGGAGCCAUCAGCUUCCCGGGGUGAAAAAAGGUAGAAGGCUUGGAAAAGAGUAAAUGUGAUAACAAAAAGCCUGCUGCAGAGAGCAGAGAAGUCAUGAAACACAUCCUCACUUCGGCACCGAGGAGCAAGGGGUGUUCCCACCUAGGCGAGCGAGACCAAUGCCUUACAUGUUUGCUCAGGGUUAAACAAAACCAGAUCUCUGGAUGCACAGGAGGAAGAGAAAACAUGGAUGUUGAUCAAAAGAGGAGAGAACACUUGCUUAAAACCCAGGGCCGCAGAGCUAUGAUGUCCCAAGGAAUGCCAACGUUUCCCAGCCUGUCGCAGCAUCUGUUUCAAUGAAUGUGUGGGGGCACAGGUGGCUGGGGGACUGGUGGCCAGGAGCAGCCUGCCCCUAGCUCAGAGGCUGCUGGACCAUGAGCACCAGGAAGCGGUCACCACGUGCUGGUACUGCAGGGCACUGGGCAGGGAGCUGUGGUGGUCCUCCCCAUCGCCUCAUCCCUGGCAUCCUCCCCAGCUGCCUGGUGUCCAGGUUGGCAGUCUAGGAGUCAGGUCAAAAAUUAAAAGUAUUGGUAUAUAAGCUAUAUGCUUACUCUUGCAGGCAGGGCUCUUGAGCCUGUAUCAGAAAGCUUUUAACUGGAUUUGAUGUGUGUUUUUUUCCCUGCUGUGGCUUUGUAGAAGACUUCUUCAGGGCUACAGCUGUCCAGUUUUACCAGCACUGUAACUUCUCAUAUCUACAGCUUUCCAUGUAUUUUAUAGUAGGCUUUGUAGUCAGCACAUGCCACAGAAGCAUUGUUGACCACUUGCAACAUUCAGACAAGCUAGACUGUAUUCAUCAUCCUAUUCUGGGAAGACCCACAGAGUGUCUUACAAAAGUGCACUGCUUUGAAGCAUGUCUUACCGCUGCUUUGGAUAGAAAGGGAUUGUUAAUAUACCACGUAGCAGGGACUGGAAAGAACUGUGCACGAAAUGACAGAGGAAGGUUUCUGAUAAAUUACUGCCCAUGUUAUAACUUCAUGAGAUAAAUAUGAUGCAUUUUAUAUACUCUUUCUUUGAAACGUUCAGAGUAUGCAGCUUGGAAGAACUUGUAAACUACCACUUUAUUCAUUAGUUUGCAGUUUAAAUAAAAAUGAAAAAGAAGGAAAAAAGAAUUGGUAAUUAAACAUGCAGUUUUACAAAUCCUCCACAACAUAUCAAACCCCUGUUUUCAUCGUACCGCCAGAAGAAUCGAAACACAAGCUUGUCCUCUCACCCUGCAUGAGGAACUCUGUUCUCUUGCAACAGCUGUUAGCAGAAGCUGAGGGGCGGUCAUGUUUAUCUUAAGAAGAAUUUUUGGCAGCGCUCACUCCUGAAGGUUGGGUUCAAAUAUUCCUCUGUCUCAGAAAGAGUAUCUGGUUAGGGGGAAGGACUGACUGCGUGGAAGUGAGUGAGCAUGAUGAAAAACUGAUGAACCCAUCUCAGGGACCCACUGCAAGAUAAAACUCUGGGCAGCUGGGAAGCUAACUGAAAUUAGAGACCCAAUGACAAAAGAACCAGCCCAGGAAGUAGCUGCUGAAGAACAGGACUUUUGGAAAGGUGUAUUGUGGAGCAGUCAGGAAGGAGAGGUCUCUCGUCACCUGAUGCAUGUUGGGAAAGUUCAAAGAUUAGAAGGUGUAGGGACAGACAUUGCUGUCUUAUGCUUGUAGGUGCUCCAUGUCCAUGGACAUGGUCAUGUGGUCCAUCGGUCUGAUUCAAAGUCCACUGAAAUAGUUGGACAAAAUAUAUCCUCAUACUGCCUUUGGCCAUGAUCUUAGCAUGGGGAGGUUUGAAAAGUCACCUCAUACUGCUGUCUACAGACAUACAGACACUGUUUGUUCAUGGUAGCCAGAGUGAGAGGCUGCCUACAUUUCUUUCCUUCUAAGCCCAGCAUCAGUAACCUGCACUUUCUCGAGAAAAAGAAAUGAAGUAUAUGCUAUUUGCUUAUGCCUCCCCUGGAUAACAGUCUCAUCUUUGUCUGGAAGAGAAGACAUGAAACAAAAAGAAGAGAACAGGAGAAAGAGCACAAGAAGAAAAAAUGCUGCUGGAGGUGCUAAGUGGUCUGGUGGGCUGGCAUGCUGAGACAGGCUGAGAAGAGUCUAGAUGGGGAAAGGGUGCUGUAAAUUAAAUCCACCAUUACUGAGAAAGCUCUGCUGUUGUCAAAGACUGAUCAAAGUAGUAAACAAAUACACCCAGACCUGCAGAUGAACAUUUCUUGAGGGUGUGCUGGCUGUCAGGAGCACAUUCCCUGCUUCCUCGGCUGCCUGCAGGAUUAGAGCAGGAUGUUUCCUGAGGAACAGCCCCAGACAUUCCUGUGGGGGAACUGAAAUGCAGAGAGUUCUCCCUGCUGCACUCAGCAUUGCUGCUCGGCUGGGUCGACCAGGAAUCUGCACCAAAAGGAAAGGGCUUUCUGACAGGUGGCGGAUUAGCCAGCAGGCAGAGCCAAACCUCUGUUCUGUAGCUGCCAAGGGUCUUUUCCAACCUUAAUGAUUCUAUGAUUCUAUUCUAUGAUUCUGUGGUGCCCAGAACCUUCAGAAGCCAGACAGUGAAAUGCAUUCGUGCAGCCAAUUGUUUGAAGAUCCAGCAAAAAAGUAUGAUUGUGGUAUAAGACGUCUGAACUCCAGAAAUGUUUAGGAUGUUAGUGAGUGUCAGACUCUGUACAGAAGUGAUGUAAACAUAUUGGGAAGUAAAGGACCAACAUCUUUUUUUUCUUUUGGAUAGGCAAAAUAUACCCUUUGUAUAUUUUUCCUUAAAUAAAUAAAGCUUUUGCAAAAUACUGAAGCCAUUACCUCAAUUUGAAUGAUUGCUGUUCUCCCCCACCCCCAAAUACUCAGCAGUCAUGA